AAAUGUUCUUAUUUUUUACAGCACUGCUUCAGCGGUUUCAUUUGCAUUUUCCACAUGAAUUAGUUCCAAAUCUGAAGCCCAGGUUAGGCAUGACACUGCAGCCCCAGCCCUACCUCAUCUGUGCUAAAAGACGAUGAAAGUUCAUGGAUAUUCUGGUCAGCUACAGUGUAUGUUUGCUUCAUAUUUGAACUUCGUUUAAUCAAUGUGUGCGUCUGGACAAAAAUCACAGCAUCAUGAAGCUAAAUGAACACAGACGAAAGUCGGAGGUUCGAAGACGAUCAGAUACCAUCGUAGUUCCGACCAUAAAUGAUGCCGACUGGCGAUGCGGUGUUAUUCCCAUGACCCGCCGGGCAGCUUCCAGGAAACCAAAGUCUUUGGGUU
rnacentral:ncRNA from 1 species